UGAUCCAUUCAUAUCUUUUCCUGCAUGUAUGGUUGGUGCACUGCAUUUUGGCUGCUAUCCUCAACCUUUGAUUUUCUUCUACUUGCUGCAGCUCUUGUUUUAGCAAGAGCUUAAGGGAACAAGAGUGAUAUAUGCUCCUGAUGAUGUAAGGUUAGGGAGAUUAUAAUCAGUCUGGUUAGGCUGAUCUUGAUCUGCUCCUUUGCAUUGUAUAUGUAGUAUAUGUAGCUACUGUUCAUCAUCCUUCAACUUUUCAGUCGAUUCUGUCUUUGAAUUGUACAUUUAUGUAUCUUCUCUGAAAACUGAAGGUUGUCAAGUUGUUUCUGGGCAUUGACAAGUUAAUAUGUGUUUUAGUCUGAAGGAAAAUUCUAUGAACAUCCUGCCGAUGUUUCUGAACGGUGUAACAUUCCUGAAAUGAGCUUUUUCUGUCAAUCUGUUAAUCGUUAUCAUCUCAUUUUCAAGUAAAAUUGUACUGUAAUCAGAUCUGCCAUCAUAAACAUCAUGAAUCAUGGAACUAUUGCUAGCUGCUUUGGUAUUACUCAAAAGUCUCUGUUUUCUUUGCCCAACUGGAAGGGACUUGGUUCAGGACCUGCAGGCUAGCUACACUUCAGGUGCACACCCAAGUCACCAACUAUUCAUCAAUUUGUUUUCCUCUUUGUCACAGAAAAGUACACACAAGAGUAUUCAUCUCUCAGCUUGCACACUUAUUGCUACCUCUUUCGAUUCCCUGAAAUUUAUUCAGUUUUACAUAACCCACUAGUUCAUCGUUGCUGACCCCCACUGAAAUAUGGAAAUGCAUGCUUAUCGUUUCUGAUCCCUCUUUGGAUGUGCAAUUGUAAGAUCAUGUAACACUUGAUAAAAGGUGGGAGUUUUCUGAAACUCCGGGCCAUAAUACUCCGUAAUUGGGGAAUUGAGGAUUAGAGGCACACAAAGGUUGUUCAGAUUGAUGCUAUUUUCAACCAUAUCAUUUUUUGGCAUAGUUGCCAAAAAUGUGUCUACGUUAGUUUGUUGCCAAACUUUAGUAAAUACAUAAGAAAUUCUGUCAAAAUUUUGGCAAUAUUGCCAACUUGCUAUAAUGUCAAAAUUUGGUAAAAUUUAUUUUGGCUACAAUCUAAACAGGCCCAAAAAUACUGUGAGUUUGAUACAAUUUUAACCUACAAAUCCAGAGUUCAUGUUCUCAGUAGCAACUUAAACCGGGAGUACAUGUUUCUUUAUUUAGUUCACUGUGACCAGAAGAACAGAAAAGGAUGUAUAGUUCUUCUCGGAGUAUAUUAAGCCAAGAAUCCAAGACUCCCAUUCAAAUGGAGGAAGUUCAGAGAAAUUUUACAAGAAUCAGAUUAAUUUCUAAAAGAAAUGCAGAAAAUUAAACUACAGAAAUCUCUUACUAGCAGAUUCUUGUUAUGUUUGAAAGAGGCCCAGAAGAAAUGUGGCCCAUAUCAUCCUCCUUCCCCCAUCCUUUUUCAAACACACUAAAAAAAGAAAAGAAAAGAAAAAAAACGAAAAUUCCCACUCACUUUCCCCAGCGACGCCUCACUCCCAGCUCCGAAGCUCAACGGCGGCCACCGCGGCGAGGCGUCGCCGCCGCUCCAGGCCUCCCAUCGGCGACGAACAAGCAGCCAGUAGGCACGCGCUUCCGCUAGGAACGUCCGCAUGUGGAGGUGGUGUGGCGGCAGCGGGGUGGCGGAGCCAGAGGCCGACCGGAGGAUCCUCCGCGCCGUGCCGCGGCUUCCACCGCCGGCGGCGGCCUCCGGACGAGCCCCGGCGAAUCGAGCCUUCUCCGGCCCCGGGCGCUCCUCCGCGCGGUGUGCCGCCUCCCGCUGCCGUGGCUCGCCCUCCGCGACGGCGGCCUGCUCGACCUACACGGCGCCCGCAUCCGCAGUCACCGCGUCACUACUCCGAGAUGACGCCACCAUGGAAGGUUGUUCAUGGUGGGGCGGUGGAUGAACGUUCCACUGAACGCUAAUUUGGCUGUGUUGUUUCCCGCAGGUUACCGACUCCUCUAUCUCGUUUUCUGCGUGCAUGCUUUUCAAACGGCUAGACAGCAUGUUUUUUUGCAAAAAAAAAAUUAUAUGAAAGUUGCUUUAAAAAAAAUCAAAUUAAUCUGUUUUGAAAAAAAUACUAAUACUUAAUUGAAUCACGCGCUAAUAGAUCACUCCAUUUUCCGUACGUGGGACAUGGGUUCCCAACCGAAACUUAGCACCUAUGUCCCACGCACGGAAAACAGAACAAUCUAUUAGCGCGUGAUUAUGAGGUCUUCGAGGCAGACCUUACGAACGAUUACCCCUUGCGUUGCGGGUGGAGAAAAGUGGACAGCUUGGGUGGCCAUGCAAUCUUCCUUGGUUCACAAUGCGCCAAGUUCGUCCGUUCUAGCCAAUGUGUAGGUGGAGUUCAAGCAGAUUGCAUCUACUUCAUGCACAGAACUUUUGACAAUCCAUCCAGAGUGUACUGGGGUCCAUGUGUUGAUCCUCUUGGCGAAUCUGGCGUGUACAACAUGAGAAAUAGUGAAAUCACACCGUUGCUUACUUGCUUCCAGAGGCCGUGAUGGCAGAGCUGCGUCUCAAACGCCAGUUUCUGACCUGGUUCCUCCCUGCUGAUGUGUAAAUUCUUUGUUUGCUUGAAUGGUUGUUCUGGUUCUGGAGUGUUAGUACAGUUGAUGUGUUGGUAAGCCAAUCUUUAGAAUACAUUUGAUAAUCGAAUAUAUAUUUUCUGUGCAAGUUAUACAAAAUUUAGAAUCCUUUUUAUUGCUAAGUAUUUUCAUUGCAUGCUAUGCAAAAUAGGCUGCUUUCAUGUCUGGUUUUGUGUGGAAGAAAUGGUUAGGAUCUCACAAGUGUGCUUAAAUUAUGUUUCAUUUUGUACUGGCCGAGUUAAUAUAUGUCUUAUCUGAAAGAAAAUGCAGUAAACACCCUGCUAAUGUUUCAGGUGGGUGUGACAGGCUAACAGCCCAGAAAUGAUUUUUCUCUGUGUGUGUGAUUUGUCAUUUGCCUGAACAAAUAAAUGGGCGCUAUGGCUUUCUUUUUUGUUGUAAUCAGUACUGCCAGGAAAAAAAAUGUCCAAAUUAUAGCUGGUUGUGUUCGUCAUCUUCAAACUAUUCUCAGAUGUUUUGUUCAACUGGAAGCAACUCAGGCGGAACUCUUCCCUGCAAAUAGACUUUGCAUACAUCAUCCUGCAAGCUGCCAUGGUGAUACACUUGAGGUAGAAUGGAGAGGCAAGAACGUGCACUGAUGGUUCAGAUAGACGGUACAACUCCCGAUGCCUCCCAUACCUACAACUUCGAAUGGAACAUAUCAGGAUCGUCUGUCCUUCUCCAUCAGCUUUCGAGCUACUCUCAUCUCUUUUAUGUGCCAAAAUAUAUUAGAUUGUUUAUAUAUCAUCAAAAUCAAAUGUAUUUUUGACGCGUGCAGCGGUGUUCAAAUGGGCACUGAAUGCAGAAGACAUGGUAACCUAUAAUCUUGACGACCAUGCCUUCUGAUGACUUAAUUUUGAGUAAUCCCCAAACGGGUGGAGUCAUGGAGAGAUGAGAUGAGAUCGACUUAACUACCUGAUGAUACUGAACAAUUCAUUACUGCACAAAAGAGUGUUCAGUAUCUAAAUAUCUAAUUUCCCUGCAACAAUUCAUAACCUUCAAAUCUACAUUUCAGUUAGAAUUGCAUCUGAUUCGCAGCCUCAGAUCAGAUGUGCGGUGCCAUCACAUAAGAGAGCAAGAUCACGUCAUCACAGUCACAACGGUCUUUGCACCUGCACCACUACAGUAGUGCAGAAUGCACUGCUUGCCAUGGCGAUGCGAGGAAGACGAAGUUGCACAUGGUUUCAUCCGAGGCAGCGUCCGAGAGACAACAUGUCCCUCCGACUGUUUCAGCUGCUGUAAAGAGAUGUUGUGAUUUAUCGUCUAUGUGGCUAGUUAGGGAAGUGAACAAUCGCUGCGUGCCGUAAGAUGAUAACUCCUGAUGCCUCCUAAGCCAACAAGGCAACAACCAUGCAUACUACAUAGUAACCCGGAAGCUGCAUGGCUGGAGUGACCUGAUAUGCCUCCAUGAAGGGUAGUUCAUCGCUAGCUCUUGCAGAAUUUCUUGCUCUUUCAUCCGAGACCUUCGAUAUAUAGAGCUAGCAUUUCAUUUGAUACAGUUAUUCAUCUCUCCAAUUACAAUUGAAUGCAGCACCUACCACUGCAUGAAUGGGUCGAUCAUCCCGGAUAUCCCAUGCUUAUAAAAUUACUUGAUGAAUGCAAGUUCAACUUCGUUAAAGAUUCAGACAUCUUUUUUGAAAAUGUUAAAAGGUUCAGAGACAAGGAAUUAACUCGGUUCAUUAUUCUUCAUUGGACAAGAGUACUGUGAUCUGAUUCCUUGAAAUAAUUCUGUGAUGAUCUGAUUCCUUGAAAUAAUUCUAAGACCUGGGCGAGAAAGGCCCGGGGUCUUCCUGGCUAGCAACGCAAGCUGCGAGCUAGCCGGUCCAGGACAUGCAGGUGACACUUCAGUUAGACACCAACCAUUCAGAUCACCCCUUCCAGAAGCAGCCAAGGUUACACAAGACACCAUUGUCAGAAACGGCACCGGCAAGACGGCAUGCCAAGCUCACCUUCAUGGCUUCAACUAGAGGAUGGUUCAUCGAUGUGGCUUAUCAUGACUGAGGUGUCUAAGGAAAUUGUAGUGACCUUAAUUCCUGCUGGUAUUUCUCCACAAUAACCAGAAGAGUUUCUUGUGAUCUUUUUUGUUCAAUUGGAUGAUCCAUAUGCAGUUUCGUUCUUCUGAAUUGGUACAAAUUAACCCUGAUGUGUCCAAACCAACAAGAAAAACCCAAUUUACUCCGUCGAAUGCAUUAUAGAGGACAUCAGCUGCACCAACACAGUAGCAAACAUUUGAUUUGACGCAAUUAGUGUGCAAUGUCUGAAAAAACUGGGAUCGUGUGCUUCCCUUUCCAAAUAUCUGAGAUCGAUGUAAGUUCAUGGAACUUUUGGUACAUGAAAUGCGUUCUCAUGGA